GCGGAGGAAAAGAAACCAACAGGGAUUGCCCUAGUAACGGCGAGUGAAGCGGCAUCAGCUCAAAUUUGAAAUCUGGCUCUUUCAGAGUCCGAGUUGUAAUUUGCAGAGGGCGCUUUGGUGUCGGCAGCGGUCCAAGUUCCUUGGAACAGGACGUCACAGAGGGUGAGAAUCCCGUACGUGGUCGCUGACCUACACCGUGUAAAGCCCCUUCGACGAGUCGAGUUGUUUGGGAAUGCAGCUCUAAAUGGGAGGUAAAUUUCUUCUAAAGCUAAAUACUGGCCAGAGACCGAUAGCGCACAAGUAGAGUGAUCGAAAGAUGAAAAGCACUUUGGAAAGAGAGUCAAACAGCACGUGAAAUUGUUGAAAGGGAAGCGCUUGCAGCCAGACUUGCUUGUAGUUGCUCAUCCGGGCUUUUGCCCGGUGCACUCUUCUGCGAGCAGGCCAGCAUCAGUUUGGACGGUUGGAUAAAGGCCUCUGUCACGUACCUUCUCUCGGGAAGGCCUUAUAGGGGAGGCGUCAUGCAACCAGUCUGGACUGAGGUCCGCGCAUCUGCUAGGAUGCUGGCGUAAUGGCUGUAAGCGGCCCGUCUUGAAACACGGACCAAGGAGUCUAACAUCUAUGCGAGUGUUUGGGUGUCAAGCCCGAGCGCGUAAUGAAAGUGAACGGAGGUGGGAUCCCGCAAGGGUGCACCAUCGACCGAUCCUGAUGUCUUCGGAUGGAUUUGAGUAAGAGCAUGGCUGUUGGGACCCGAAAGAUGGUGAACUAUGCUUGAAUAGGGUGAAGCCAGAGGAAACUCUGGUGGAGGCUCGCAGCGGUUCUGACGUGCAAAUCGAUCGU
rnacentral:sRNA from 1 species